rnacentral:rRNA from 1 species
GAUGAACGCUGGCGGCGUGCUUAACACAUGCAAGUCGAACGGAAAGGCUCCUGCUUGCAGGGGUACUCGAGUGGCGAACGGGUGAGUAACACGUGGGUGAUCUGCCCUGCACUUCGGGAUAAGCUUGGGAAACUGGGUCUAAUACCGGAUAGGACCGCAUUUUGGAUGGUGUGGUGGAAAGUUUUUUCGGUGUGGGAUGAGCUCGCGGCCUAUCAGCUUGUUGGUGGGGUAAUGGCCUACCAAGGCGUCGACGGGUAGCCGGCCUGAGAGGGUGUACGGCCACAUUGGGACUGAGAUACGGCACAGACUCCUACGGGAGGCAGCAGUGGGGAAUAUUGCACAAUGGGCGCAAGCCUGAUGCAGCGACGCCGCGUGGGGGAUGACGGCCUUCGGGUUGUAAACUCCUUUCGCUAGGGACGAAGAGUAAUUGACGGUACCUGGAGAAGAAGCACCGGCUAACUACGUG